GACGAACGCUGGCGGCGUGCUUAGCACAUGCAAGUCGAACGGAAAGGCCCUGCUUGCAGGGUACUCGAGUGGCGAACGGGUGAGUAACACGUGGGUGAUCUGCCCUGCACUUCGGGAUAAGCCUGGGAAACUGGGUCUAAUACCGGAUAGGAGCCAUUUUUAGUGUGAUGGUUGGAAAGUUUUUUCGGUGUAGGAUGAGCUCGCGGCCUAUCAGCUUGUUGGUGGGGUAAUGGCCUACCAAGGCGGCGACGGGUAGUCGGCCUGAGAGGGUGGACGGCCACAUUGGGACUGAGAUACGGCCCAGACUCCUACGGGAGGCAGCAGUGGGGAAUAUUGCACAAUGGGCGCAAGCCUGAUGCAGCGACGCCGCGUGGGGGAUGACGGCCUUCGGGUUGUAAACUCCUUUCGCUAGGGACGAAGCUUUUGUGACGGUACCUAGAUAAGAAGCACCGGCUAACUACGUG
rnacentral:rRNA from 1 species